GACGAACGCUGGCGGCGUGCUUAACACAUGCAAGUCGAGCGGUAAGGCCCUUUCGGGGGUACACGAGCGGCGAACGGGUGAGUAACACGUGGGUGACCUGCCCUUAGCUCUGGGAUAAGCCUGGGAAACUGGGUCUAGUACCGGAUAUGACUCCAUGACGCAUGUUGUGGGGUGGAAAGCCUUGUGCGGCUAGGGGAUGGGG
rnacentral:rRNA from 1 species